AAGGAAUUGCAAAUGAAAAAAUCUAAUUGGGCUAACUGUGUUAUCACAAAACACAUCUCAAUACAUGAUUUAUCGAGAGAAAUCUUCUCCCAGGCUUUUUACAAAAACAAACAAAUAUUGGUUUUAUAAUUGCAAAUUGGACUAGAUGUUAGUAUUUUUCUGGUCAUUAACCCUAAUAAAAAAUUCAUUUACAUAUUGGGUAUUUGUAAUUUCAAUGGAAUUUGUAUUUUUUUGCAAGUGAUUGCCUAUUGAUUCUCGAUUUUGUAAUCACACAUGCACAACAAAAUAGGAAAACCAUUCGAAAAUUACUCUAAAUAACAUAUGCUGCCAAAGUGGGAGAUUAUUAGCCUUUUAAGUUUCUGAGGACAGCAUAAUCAUUUUUUGUUAGCUCCAUACCUCAUAUAAUUUUUACGGGGCCACACUACUUUACUAAGACACAUAAAUUGGAGUAAGGACAAUAAUGGGUACCCCUCCUCAUGAAGCAAAAGGAUAGCAAAUUCUUUAGUUUUAUCAGCUAACAUGGAGAAUGGAGACUACUAGGCGAAGUAUGGGGAGGCUCGUCAAGUGCAGUAUGUUUCUCCCUAUGAAUCCAUAUCUUUUUUCUGCAUGCUAGCAGAAUUGGAGGGCUAUUUUUGGUCUCUUUUCUUUUUAUUGUGUGUGUGGAGUCGUCCAAUUAAUUUCCACUAGUUUAGUGUUAGCAAAUUCAAAUUUUGAAACUUCUCAUGUAGGGAAAAACCUAUAUAAACUAAUUCUAUUAAUUUAAUCACUUUUCCAAUAAUGUCCUUACAUCACAUUAUUUUGAACAAAUUUUUACCUAUGGCCUAUAACCCUGGCUUGAAAUUCUAUUUCACACCCUUCUUUUUAUUUUCGUACUUUUCCCAUUAUGCUUAGAAUACUUUAGUGUGAACUUCUCCCUCACAUUCCUGUUAUUCAAUCCUUUCUACAUGUCAAGUCAAUAAUAUGAGCAUCUUAUGAACUUCUUCACAUUAAAUUGAUGAACCAU
rnacentral:misc_RNA from 1 species